GGGGGUCUCUGCGCCCGAUCGUCCGUGUAGUUCGGUUCCGGCUGUUCCUCUGGGAGGGUCGCAGACUCGGUUCCACUGGAAGCUGGGAUGGGCACCAGAAGAUGAUGUCAGAGCUCCCGAGCUUCUGAGGUUUUACUGUCGGCCUCCAGAACCCCGACAUGCAUGCAUGGCUUGAUGUUCAUCAUGUUCCACCAUAGACCCACGUGACUGCUCCUGCCGCAACACUGUUAGCUUCCAGCUCCAGCGUGCCUGAGGUGCU